rnacentral:misc_RNA from 1 species
UCCGAGUUAACCCCGGCAGUCUCUCAUGAGUUCCCACCAUAACGUGCUGGCAACAUAAGACAAGGGUUGCGCUCGUUGCGGGACUUAACCCAACAUCUCACGACACGAGCUGACGACAACCAUGCACCACCUGUAUACAGACCACAAGGGAAAGACUAUCUCUAGCCCGAUCCUGUAUAUGUCAAGCCCAGGUAAGGUUCUUCGCGUUGCAUCGAAUUAAUCCACAUGCUCCGCCGCUUGUGCGGGCCCCCGUCAAUUCCUUUGAGUUUUAGCCUUGCGGCCGUACUCCCCAGGCGGGGCGCUUAAUGCGUUAGCUACGGCACAGAAGACGUGGAAGCCCCCUACACCUAGCGCCCACCGUUUACGGCAUGGACUAC